rnacentral:rRNA from 1 species
GACGAACGCUGGCGGCGUGCUUAACACAUGCAAGUCGAACGGAAAGGCCCUGCUUUUGUGGGGUGCUCGAGUGGCGAACGGGUGAGUAACACGUGAGUAACCUGCCCUUGACUUUGGGAUAACUUCAGGAAACUGGGGCUAAUACCGGAUAGGAGCUCCUGCUGCAUGGUGGGGGUUGGAAAGUUUCGGCGGUUGGGGAUGGACUCGCGGCUUAUCAGCUUGUUGGUGGGGUAGUGGCUUACCAAGGGUUUGACGGGUAGCCGGCCUGAGAGGGUGACCGGCCACAUUGGGACUGAGGUACGGCCCAGACUCCUACGGGAGGCAGCAGUGGGGAAUAUUGCACAAUGGGCGGAAGCCUGAGGCAGAAACGCCGCGUGCGGGAUGACGGCCUUCGGGUUGUAAACCGCUUUCGCCUGUGACGAAGCGUGAGUGACGGUAAUGGGUAAAGAAGCACCGGCUAACUACGUG